rnacentral:rRNA from 1 species
UUCUGCCUACGGGGGGCAGCAGUGAGGAAUAUUGGUCAAUGGACGAGAGUCUGAACCAGCCAAGUAGCGUGAAGGAUGACUGCCCUAUGGGUUGUAAACCUCUUUUGUCAGGGAGCAAGGUGCAGGUCGGGACCUGCUGUGAGAGUACCUGAAGAAAAAGCAUCGGCUAACUCCGUGCCAGCAGCCGCGGUAAUACGGAGGAUGCGAGCGUUAUCCGGAUUUAUUGGGUUUAAAGGGUGCGCAGGCGGAGGCACAAGUCAGCGGUAAAAUCGCGGGGCUCAACCCCGCUCCGCCGUUGAAACUGG